AAACAACACUAUUUCAGUUCAAUUUGGAGAAGUAAAACCUACUACUUGUUCUAUCUAUAAAAGAAAAGGUCUGAGACUCUGCGAUUCCGAGUUUGAUAUGGGAACCAAUCGACCCUAUUGGACUAGCCUACUGCUUCAGUGUGACAUUUUGGUUUUGUUCAAUCUCGGAUUUGGCAUCUUUGAACAGUUAGGCGUAUCAGAACUGGUAACAUUGAAAGUAAGCAGAUAACAGUUCCUACGAUAGGUCCAACGUUGAGUCACAAGUUGGAGCGGUCACCAAGUCCAAUACCUCAAAGAGAUAUGU